rnacentral:rRNA from 1 species
GAUGAACGCUGGCGGCGUGCCUAAUACAUGCAAGUCGAGCGAACGGACGAGAAGCUUGCUUCUCUGAUGUUAGCGGCGGACGGGUGAGUAACACGUGGAUAACCUACCUAUAAGACUGGGAUAACUUCGGGAAACCGGAGCUAAUACCGGAUAAUAUUUUGAACCGCAUGGUUCAAAAGUGAAAGACGGUCUUGCUGCCACUUAUAGAUGGAUCCGCGCUGCAUUAGCUAGUUGGUAAGGUAACGGCUUACCAAGGCAACGAUGCAUAGCCGACCUGAGAGAGUGAUCGGCCACCCUGGAACUGAGACACGGUCCAGACUACUACGGGAGGCAGCAGUAGGGAAUCUUCCGCAAUGGGCGAAAGCCUGACGGAGCAACGCCGAGUGAGUGAUGAAGGUCUUCGGAUCGUAAAACUCUGUUAUUAGGGAAGAACAUAUGUGUAAGUAACUGUGCACAUCUUGACGGUACCUAAUCAGAAAGCCACGGCUAACUACGUG